UNCCUAACUGUGCAAAGGUAGCAUAAUCAUUAGUCUUUUAAUUGAAGGCUGGAAUGAAUGGUUGAAUGAAAUAUUAACUGUUUCAAUUUAAUUAAUUAUAGAAUUUUAUUUUUUAGUUAAAAAGCUAAAAUAAAUUUAAAAGACGAGAAGACCCUAUAAAUCUUUAUAAAUUUAUUGUAUUAUUAANUAUAUAGAUUAAUUAAUUUUUAAUAUAUUAAUUUAUUUUAUUGGGGUGAUAUUGAAAUUUGUAAAACUUUUAAUUGUAAGUUAACAUAGAUUAAUGAUUUAUNUGAUCCAUUUNNUAAUGAUUAGAAAAUUAAGUUACUUUAGGGAUAACAGCAGUAAUUUUUUUAGAGAGUUCAUAUUGAUAAAAAAGAUUGCGACCUCGAUGUUGGAUUAAGAUAUAA
rnacentral:rRNA from 1 species